GAUCCUGGCUCGGGAUGAACGCUAGCUACAGGCUUAACACAUGCAAGUCGAGGGGCAGCAUGAUUGAAGCUUGCUUCAAUUGAUGGCGACCGGCGCACGGGUGAGUAACACGUAUCCAACCUGCCGAUAACUCGGGGAUAGCCUUUCGAAAGAAAGAUUAAUACCCGAUAGUAUAGUAUUUCCGCAUGGUUUCACUAUUAAAGAAUUUCGGUUAUCGAUGGGGAUGCGUUCCAUUAGAUAGUUGG
rnacentral:rRNA from 1 species